AUUAUACUAGCUAAUCUGUGCCCUGAGUGUGGCAGCCUGGAAAAAAGCAGAGACUUUUGGGAUCCAUGCCAGCAUGGACUAUGGAUAUCACAGACAUAGCAGAAAUUUGUUGUGAGGAUAUGAGUAAGAGAUGCUGAGACACUAGCACCCCGACCACCACUGGUGGAGAAGCCAGCCUGGGAGAGUGAAAUUAACACGGGAACAGCAUUUGCAUAUUCAGCCUCUUCUUUGGAUCCGAACCCACAGGAAACACUGAGAAAUGUGGCUGCUUUCAGAAGCAUCAAGUUGUACCUCCAAACAAAAGCUUCAUGCCCUGCAACUCGCUGGGCUUGUAGACAGGAAUCCCUCUUCAUCGGGUGAGCAGCAUUCUUCGGGUCUGAAUCGCAUCUCCAGAAAACUAGUUGCCCCAGCAGAGCAGCCUCAGACUCUGUCUCCAGGAACUCCCAGUCAACGGCUGCCCUCCAGCACUGGCAUUGGACUGUCUGUAGCUUUUUCUCCAUUCCUUUUUCUUUUAAAUCGAUUGCAGGGGUCGCAAAGUAACAGCUUCUGGGAGGAUAGACACGACAGUUUUGCUCAA